CGAAUGGGGAAACCCCGCCGGAGUAAUAUCUGGUGACCCGCAUCUGAAUAUAUAGGGUGCGAGGAGCAAACCCAGGGAACUGAAACAUCUUAUUACCUGGAGGAAAAGAAAACAAAACAGUGAUUCCCCUAGUAGCGGCGAGCGAACGGGGAGGAGCCCAAACCUUUUGUGUGUAAGCUUGGGAGCGUUGCACAGAGGGUGUUGUGGGGCUUGUUUGGGCUGGAUCCCAAUCCGGCCGAGGGACACUGCAUUCGUAGUCGAAGGUCCUGGAAAGGACGGCCAUAGGGUGUGAUAGCCACGUAGGCGAAACGAAUGUAGACCUUUGGAGCAAGUUCCCGAGUAUCGCGAGACACGUGCAAUCUUGCGAGAAGCUGGGAGGACCAUCUUCCAAGGCUAAACACUACUUAGCGACCGAUAGUGAACUAGUACCGCGAGGGAAAGGUGAAAAGAACCCCUGUUAGGGGAGUGAAAUAGUACCUGAAACCGAUUGCAUACAAUGUGUGGGAGCCCCGUCCAUUUGGCCUCCGGCCCAAAUGGAAUUUGAAAUUUCAAAUCUUAAAUUUGAAAUUCCAUUUGACGGCAGUCAAAUGGACGGGGUGACCGCGUGCCUUUUGCAUAAUGAGUCUGCGAGUUAUUGUCAGUGGCAGCCUAAGUUCUUCUGGGACGGAGGCGAAGGGAAACCGAGUACGAACAGUGCGCCACGUUGCUGGCAAUAGACCCGAAGCGGAGGUGAUCUACUUUUGAGCAGGUUGAAGCUGUGGUAACACACAGUGAAGGACCGAACUCGUGGAUGUUGAAAAAUCCUGAGAUGACUUGAGAGUAGGAGCGAAAGACUAAUCAAACCCCGUGAUAGCUGGUUCUCUCCGAAAUAACUUGAGGGCUAGCGUCGGAAAAGUACUCCAUGGAGGUAGAGCACUGGAUGGCUUAGAGUCCCCACCAGGAUAUCAAAACCAAUCAAACUCCGAAUUCCGUGGAUCCCAAUAUUCCGGCAGUCAGACGGCGAGGGAUAAGCUUCGUCGUCAAGAGGGCAACAGCCCAGACCAUCAGCUAAGGUGCCUAAAUGUUAUUAAGUGGAAAGGAUGUGACGUUGCUUAGACAGUGAGGAUGUUGGCUUAGAGGCAGCCAUCAUUUAAACAGUGCGUAAUAGCUGACUCAUCGAGCGAUGUCGCGCCGAAAAUGAUUGGCGAUCAAAUAACAUACCGAAGCUAUGGAUUUCGCCGCAAGGCGGAGUGGUAGGAGAGCGUAAUGGAUGCAGCGAAGCCGGACUGAAAAGGAAGGUGGAGCGUCCAUUAGUGAGAAUGCAGACAUGAGUAGCGAUAAACCAGAUGAGAAUUCUGGUCGCCGUAAACCUAAGGUUUCCUGGGGCAGGUUCGUCCUCCCAGGGUUAGUCGGGAGCUAAGAUGAGGCCGUACGGCGUAAUCGAUGCACAGCAGGUUAAUAUUCCUGCACUGGCUAGGGUCAAGACCAGCAAUGUGACGCAAGGAGAAAAGUGAUCAGGCAAUCGAAUGCUGAGCCUAGGCUUCGGCCAAAGCGCAUCACCGGACGACUUGCCGAGAAAAGCACGCUGGUUGUUUCCCUGGUUACCCGUACCGUAAACCGACACAGGUGGGUGAGUCGAAUAGACUCAGGCGCGCGAGAGAAACCUCUCUAAGGAACUCGGCAAAAUAGCCCCGUAACUUCGGGAGAAGGGGUGCCCCCCCUAUUUAGUGCAGAAUGAUCGAGUGCAGAAUGCAGAAUGGGAAGAAAAGCCCAUGCGCAUCCAGGCUCGAAGCGUUCGGACAUGAAUAGGCGGCAAAGUGUCAAAUAACAGAGUUUGGGAAUGAUCUGGCCGCAGGGGCCUGUCAUUCUGAAUUCUGAAAUCUGCACUCUGCAUUAAAUGGGGGGGGUCUCAGUAAAUUGGGUUUAGCGACUGUUUAACAAAAACACAGCACUCUGCCAAGUCGUGAAGACGACGUAUAGGGUGUGACACGUGACCAAUGCGGAAAGAUCAAGGUGAGUUGUUAGCCGCAAGGCAAAGCUCCGAGCCUAAGUCCCCGUGAAUGUCGGCCGUAACUAUAACGGUCCUAAGGUAGCGAAAUUCCUUGUCGGGUAAGUUCCGACCUGCACGAAUCGUGUAACGACUGAACCGCUGUCUC
rnacentral:rRNA from 1 species